GUAGGGAAUCUUCCACAAUGGACGCAAGUCUGAUGGAGCAACGCCGCGUGAGUGAAGAAGGCUUUCGGGUCGUAAAACUCUGUUAUUGAAGAAGAACGUGUGUGACAGUAACUGGUCAUGCAGUGACGGUAUUCAAUCAGAAGNNCACGGCUAACUACGUGCCAGCAGCCGCGGUAAUACGUAGGUGGCAAGCGUUGUCCGGAUUUAUUGGGCGUAAAGCGAGUGCAGGCGGUCUUUUAAGUCUGAUGUGAAAGCCUUCGGCUUAACCGAAGAAGGGCAUCGGAAACUGGGAGACUUGAGUGCAGAAGAGGAGAGUGGAACUCCAUGUGUAGCGGUGAAAUGCGUAGAUAUAUGGAAGAACA
rnacentral:rRNA from 1 species